CUUUCUAUUAUGGGAUGGAGCAGUUGUGUCAGUGUGCAUCCUGGAAGCCAACCUGUGAGAAUCCUGUGGGCUGAUGGGAGAGCAGCCCUGGCUCUCCGUGGACCAAACAGAAUCAACACAGCACUUUCUCCAUUACACACUGGAUUCAGAUUCAGAACCAUGGGGCCAGAACUGUACCUUGGCCUUCUCCGAGACAAAAGACCCAAGACAACUCAUUCAAGUAAAGUAUUGUGACUGAAUGGGUGCAUGGUGGUGAGUGGCUACAGAACGGGGUGAGGUCAGUCAGUGGAUACAGAAUAACAGUUAUGAAAUAUUCUGAUUGAAUGGGGUGCAGUCAGUGAAUGGAUACAGAAUAACAGUUAUGAAAUAUUUUGAUUGAAAGGGAUGAGGUCAGCAGUGGAUACAGAAUAACAGUUAUGAAAUAUUCUGAUUGAAUGGGGUGGGGUCAGUCAGUGGAUACAGAAUAACAGUUAUGAAAUGUGCAAAGCAUUUUGGAGAUGGAUGGUGGCAAGCCAGUCAAGGACCAUGUGGGACAGAGGUGGGUGAGCUUGGGGGUUUUAAUCUAUGUUUCCCACUAAGCAUCUGUGUCUUUCCCCUAGUCUCUUACACAUAGAUCGUCUUCUCAUAGCCUCCUAUUCUGAUCCUUGGGAUCAGCUUGGGCAAGCACACCAGAAAAACCAGGAUGAGG
rnacentral:lncRNA from 1 species